rnacentral:rRNA from 1 species
AGGAAAGGACAUCAAUAUGAUACUCCCCUAGUAGCGGCGAGCGAACGGGGACCAGCCGAGCCAUGAUUGUGAAUAGAACGUGUUGGGAAGCACGGCCAUAGUGGGUGAUAGCCCCGUAUACGAAGAUGCAUUAGUCACAUAUUAAGUAGGGCGGGACACGUGUUAUCCUGUCUGAAGAUGGGGGGACCAUCCUCCAAGGCUAAAUACUCCUGACUGACCGAUAGUGAACCAGUACCGUGAGGGAAAGGCGAAAAGAACCCCUGUGAGGGGAGUGAAAUAGAACCUGAAACCGUGUACGUACAAGCAGUAGGAGCAGACUUGUUCUGUGACUGCGUACCUUUUGUAUAAUGGGUCAGCGACUUAUAUUCAGUAGCAAGGUUAACCGUUUAGGGGAGCCGUAGGGAAACCGAGUCUUAAUAGGGCGUUCAGUUGCUGGGUAUAGACCCGAAACCCGGCGAUCUAUCCAUGAGCAGGUUGAAGAUUGAGUAACAUCAAUUGGAGGACCGAACCCACUGUCUUUGAAAAGCCAGGGGAUGACUUGUGGAUCGGAGUGAAAGGCUAAUCAAGCCGGGAGAUAGCUGGUUCUCCUCGAAAUCUAUUUAGGUAGAGCGUCACGUAUUACCCACGGGGGUAGAGCACUGUUAAGGCUAGGGGGUCAUCCCGACUUACCAAC